rnacentral:rRNA from 1 species
CCCUUAGAUGUUCUGGGCCACACGCGCGCUACACUGAUGCAUUCAACGAGUCUAAAACCUGCUCUGAUAGGGGUGGGUAAUCUUUUGAAUGUGCAUCGUGAUUGGGAUAGAUGAUUGCAAUUUUUCAUCUUCAACGAGGAAUGCCUAGUAAACGCAAGUCAUCAGCUUGCAUUGAUUACGUCCCUGCCCUUUGUACACACCGCCCGUCGCUCCUACCGAUUGAAUGAUCCGAUGAAUAUCAUGGAUUGAGGAUUAUAGCAGGUUCGCCUGUCUUGAUCUUCGAGAAGUGAAGUAAAUCUUAUCAUUUAGAGGAAGGAGAAGUCGUAACA